rnacentral:rRNA from 1 species
GUGGGGAAUAUUGGACAAUGGGCGAAAGCCUGAUCCAGCCAUGCCGCGUGUGUGAAGAAGGUCUUCGGAUUGUAAAGCACUUUAAGUUGGGAGGAAGGGUAGUAACCUAAUACGUUGCUACUUUGACGUUACCGACAGAAUAAGCACCGGCUAACUUCGUGCCAGCAGCCGCGGUAAUACGAAGGGUGCAAGCGUUAAUCGGAAUUACUGGGCGUAAAGCGCGCGUAGGUGGUUCAGUAAGUUGGAAGUGAAAUCCCCGGGCUCAACCUGGGAACUGCGUUCAAAAAUGCUGAGCUAGAGUACGGUAGAGGGUGGUGGAAUUUCCUGUGUAGCGGUGAAAUGCGUAGAUAUAGGAAGGAACACCAGUGGCGAAGGCGACCACCUGGACUGAUACUGACACUGAGGUGCGAAAGCGUGGGGAGCAAACAGGAUUAGAAACCCGGGUAGUCC